GUGCUUGCUUCAGCAGUACAUAUACUAAAACUGGAAUGAUAUAGAGAAGAUUAGUAUGGCCUGUGCACAAGAAUGACAUGCAAAUUCAUGAUGCAUUCCAAAUUUUU
rnacentral:snRNA from 1 species